GAUGAAGAACGCAGCGAAAUGCGAUAAGCAAUGUGAAUUGCAGAAUUCAGUGAAUCAUCGAAUCUUUGAACGCACAUUGCGCCCGCCAGUAUUCUGGCGGGCAUGCCUGUUCGAGCGUCAUUACAACCCUCAGGCCCCCGGGCCUGGCGUUGGGGAUCGGCGGAAGCCCCCUGUGGGCACACGCCGUCCCUCAAAUACAGUGGCGGUCCCGCCGCAGCUUCCAUUGCGUAGUAGCUAACACCUCGCAACUGGAGAGCGGCGCGGCCAUGCCGUAAAACACCCAACUUCUGAAUGUUGACCUCGAAUCAGGUAGGAAUACCCGCUGAACUUAAGCAUAUCAAUAAGCGGAGGA
rnacentral:misc_RNA from 1 species